rnacentral:rRNA from 1 species
CCUGGUUGAUCCUGCCAGUUGUCAUAUGCUUGUCUCAAAGAUUAAGCCAUGCAUGUCUAAGUUCAGCUUCAGAACAGUGAAACCGCGAACGGCUCAUUAAAUCAGUCUUGGUUUAUUUGAUAGUAAACCUUACUUGGAUAACUGUGGU